rnacentral:rRNA from 1 species
UAACGUAGCGAAAGCUACGCUAAUACCGCAUACGAUCUAUGGAUGAAAGCGGGGGGAUCGCAAGACCUCGCGCGAUUGGAGCGGCCGAUAUCAGAUUAGGUAGUUGGUGAGGUAAAGGCUCACCAAGCCGACGAUCUGUAGCUGGUCUGAGAGGACGACCAGCCACACUGGGACUGAGACACGGCCCAGACUCCUACGGGAGGCAGCAGUGGGGAAUUUUGGACAAUGGGCGCAAGCCUGAUCCAGCAAUGCCGCGUGCAGGAUGAAGGCCUUCGGGUUGUAAACUGCUUUUGUACGGAACGAAACGGUGAGCUCUAAUACAGUUUGCUAAUGACGGUACCGUAAGAAUAAGCACCGGCUAACUACGUG